ensembl:lncRNA
GCCAUGAAAAAAUAAUUUUCAUGUCUGAGUUAAGAAAUUUUGACCUUCCUUUUGAUAUGUUAUAGUUACUCUAUACUUUUUCAACAAAAAUAAAAAGAGAACUGGAAGAACCAAACACUAUGUUCCUUGAUUUUAAGGCAUUUAAAGGCACAAUCAGUGCCAGAUUCAGCAACUUGCAGGAAGCCCCCCUAUCCUCUGGGGGCAAAAAGACUAAAUUACAGUAGAUUCAGGGCACUGGAAACUACAGCCUCAUCAUUCAGCCUUGUCCAUAUACCUGCAGGUUGAAAUUUCUGGAGAAGGAAGAGCUAAGAGCUUGAGAGGACGAGGAGUGGGUACCAAACCAGAAUCCAAAGUCAGACUUCACUGCAUUCAGUAAUACCUUGUCAAGGUGACAGGAUCCUCAACUGAUAAAGCUGUUCCAUUUAGCACCAGUGAAUGAGCCCACCAACUUUUAAACAAACUAAAGAACCAAACAUGUCUUUCAGUGGUGGAGAUAUUAAAAUAAAAAUGCACCACAUGUCUUUCUCUUCUUAAAUGCUUUUUUUCAUUCCUUUCCAACCCAGAAAGUUCCUGCUUUAUCUGAGAUCCCUGCUGAGUUUUCUUUCAGACUGAUUUUCCAGCCAGGUUGAAUAUAUUUGAAAAGGAAGAAGAAAAAAAAAAGAGAGAGAGAGCCUAAGGUGGCACAGUGGUGAAGAAUCCACUUGUUAAUGCAGGAGAUACCCUGGGUCAGGAAGAUCCCUGAAGAAGGAAGUGGCAACUCACUCCAGUAUUCUUGCUUGAAAGAUUCCAUGGACAGAAGAGCCUGGCAGGGUCACAGAGCCAUGGACUGGGGUCACAAGAGAGUCAAGACUCGACUGAACAGCAGCAGCAUGGCAGAACCUAACACGAGGAUAAUUAUCCUCCAAUUAAAAGUAAAUAAAAAGGAAAGCCCUCCAAUUGAUUUUGAUUUUGAAGAUUGAGAACCGUUGCCAUAUAUUAACUAUAGUUCUCAACCUUGUUCCCUCAUGGCCACUG